rnacentral:rRNA from 1 species
GAUGAACGCUGGCGGCGUGCCUAAUACAUGCAAGUCGAGCGAACAGACGAGGAGCUUGCUCCUCUGACGUUAGCGGCGGACGGGUGAGUAACACGUGGAUAACCUACCUAUAAGACUGGGAUAACUUCGGGAAACCGGAGCUAAUACCGGAGAAUAUAUUGAACCGCAUGGUUCAAUAGUGAAAGACGGUUUUGCUGUCACUUAUAGAUGGAUCCGCGCGGCAUGAGCUAGUUGGUAAGGUAACGGCUUACCAAGGCGACGAUGCGUAGCCGACCUGAGAGGGUGAUCGGCCACACUGGAACUGAGACACGGUCCAGACUCCUACGGGAGGCAGCAGUAGGGAAUCGUCCGCAAUGGGCGAAAGCCUGACGGAGCAACGCCGCGUGAGUGAUGAAGGUCUUCGGAUCGUAAAACUCUGUUAUUAGGGAAGAACAAAUGUGUAAGUAACUAUGCACGUCUUGACGGUACCUAAUCAGAAAGCCACGGCUAACUACGUG